AUAUAGCCACAGUUAAUAAUUCAGUUUUGGCAGUGUCGUUAAAAUCUAAUAUUGGCAUUUUCUUGGAUUAAAAAGGGAGAACAUUAUUUAGUAGAGUGCUCCAAACGUUUAUCGGCUAUCCCAUACAAUUACACAGAUUGCAAUGAAAAUCAGGAUUGUGAAAACCUUUUUAGCCCUGUUUCUAUUUAUUUUACCCAUUGCGGUGAAUGGAUGCACAGUGCUUAAUGAUUCUUGUGAUGACCAUGUAGAUUGCUGUUCAUCAUACUGUGGCGAUGAAGGAGUUUGCGAAAGCAUGCUGCCCUAUGGCUAUGUGGCAAAAUAUGAGAUCUGAUAUAUGCUUAACUUAAAUAAAAAUGUAAGAUGAAGUGGAGUGAGAGGAAUUGAUUUGGAACUCUAGAUUAUAAUUUGUAAAUAAAAAGUAGAUGGCCAGAUGGAAAAGAAAAUGUGGGCCAUUCCGACAUUA
rnacentral:sRNA from 1 species